rnacentral:tRNA from 1 species
GCGGAUGUGGCGAAGUGGCUAACGCAUCGGGUUGUGGCUCCGACAUUCGCGGGUUCGAUCCCCGUCAUCCGCCCCA